AACGAACGCUGGCGGCAUGCCUAACACAUGCAAGUCGAACGAAACCUUCGGGUCUAGUGGCGCACGUGUGCGUAACGCGUGGGAACCUGCCCUUAGGUUCGGAAUAACUCCCCUAAAGGGGUGCUAAUACCAGAUAAUGUCUUCGGACCAAAGAUUUAUCGCCUUUGGAUGGGCCCUCGUUGGAUUAGCUAGUUGGUAGGGUAAAAGCCUACCAAGGCGACGAUCCAUAGCUGGUCUGAGAGGAUGAUCAGCCACACUGGGACUGAGACACGGCCCAGACUCCUACGGGAGGCAGCAGUGGGGAAUAUUGGACAAGGGGCGAAAGCCUGAUCAAGCAAUGCCGCGUGAGUGAUGAAGGCCUUAGGGUUGUAAAGCUCUUUUACCCGGGAUGAUAAUGACAGUACCGGGAGAAUAAGCUCCGGCUAACUCCGUG
rnacentral:rRNA from 1 species